rnacentral:rRNA from 1 species
CCUACGGGCGGCUGCAGUCGAGAAUCAUUCACAAUGGGGGAAACCCUGAUGGUGCGACGCCGCGUGGGGGAAUGAAGGUCUUCGGAUUGUAAACCCCUGUCAUGUGGGAGCAAAUUAAAAAGAUAGUACCACAAGAGGAAGAGACGGCUAACUCUGUGCCAGCAGCCGCGGUAAUACAGAGGUCUCAAGCGUUGUUCGGAAUCACUGGGCGUAAGGCGUGCGUAGGCUGUUUCGUAAGUCGUGUGUGAAAGGCGCGGGCUCAACCCGCGGACGGCACAUGAUACUGCGAGACUAGAGUAAUGGAGGGGGAACCGGAAUUCUCGGUGUAGCAGUGAAAUGCGUAGAUAUCACGAAGAACCCCGAUUGCGAAGGCAGCAUACCGGCUCCACACUGACGCUGAGGCACGAAAGCGUGGGUAUCGAACAGGAUUAGAUACCCCUGUAGUC